CAAUAGCGUAUAUUAAAGUUGUUGCAGUUAAAAAGCUCGUAGUUGGACCUUGGACCUGGACAGGCGGUCCGCCUCACGGCGAGUACUGUCUUGCUGGGUCUUUCCUCUUGGUGAUCUGUUGUUUCGGCAGCAGGGAACCAGGACCUUUACUUUGAAAAAAUUAGAGUGUUCAAAGCAGGCUCGACGCCGGAAUAUAUUAGCAUGGAAUAAUAAAAUAGGACGUGCGGUUCUAUUUUGUUGGUUUUUGGAAUCGCCGUAAUGAUUAAUAGGGACAGUCGGGGGCAUUAGUACUCACAUGCUAGAGGUGAAAUUCUUGGAUUUUGUGAAGACUAACUUCUGCGAAAGCAUUUGCCAAGGAUGUUUUCAUUAA
rnacentral:rRNA from 1 species